CCACAUUGCAAAGUCGAAACGGCAGCACGGAAGCUUGCUUUUGGUGGCGAGUUGGCGAACGGGGUGAGUUAAUAUUAUCGAAACGUACCCUGGAGUGGGGGAUAACGUAGCGAAAGUUUACCGCUAAUACCGCAUACGAUCCUAAAGGAUGAAAGUGGGGGGAUCGCAAGACCUCAUGCUCGUGGAGCGGGCCGAUAUCUGAUUAGCUAGUUGGUAGGGUAAAAGCCUACCAAGGCAUCGAUCAGUAGCUGGUCUGAGAGGACGACCAGCCACACUGGAACUGAGACACGGUCCAGACUCCUACGGGAGGCAGCAGUGGGGAAUUUUGGACAAUGGGCGAAAGCCUGAUCCAGCAAUGCCGCGUGAGUGAAGAAGGCCUUCGGGUUGUAAAGCUCUUUUGUCAGGGAAGAAACGGUGAGAGCUAAUAUCUCUUGCUAAUGACGGUACCUGAAGAAUAAGCACCGGCUAACUACGUGCCAGCAGCCGCGGUAAUACGUAGGGUGCAAGCGUUAAUCGGAAUUACUGGGCGUAAAGCGUGCGCAGGCGGUUUUGUAAGUAUGAUGUGAAAUCCCCGGGCUCAACCUGGGAAUUGCAUUGGAGACUGCAAGGCUAGAAUCUGGCAGAGGGGGGUAGAAUUCCACGUGUAGCAGUGAAAUGCGUAGAUAUGUGGAGGAACACCGAUGGCGAAGGCAGCCCCCUGGGUCAAGAUUGACGCUCAUGCACGAAAGCGUGGGGAGCAAACAGGAUUAGAUACCCUGGUAGUCCACGCCCUAAACGAUGUCUACUAGUUGUCGGGUCUUAAUUGACUUGGUAACGCAGCUAACGCGUGAAGUAGACCGCCUGGGGAGUACGGUCGCAAGAUUAAAACUCAAAGGAAUUGACGGGGACCCGCACAAGCGGUGGAUGAUGUGGAUUAAUUCGAUGCAACGCGAAAAACCUUACCUACCCUUGACAUGGAUGGAAUCCCGGAGAGAUCUGGGAGGCUCGAAAGGGAUUC
rnacentral:rRNA from 1 species